rnacentral:lncRNA from 1 species
GGGGAAGUGUGGGGUGGGUUUGGAGGAGGGCCACAGAAAACGACUGUUAGAGAAGACCUUCGGUUUGAAUGGGGCUAAAUGAAGACACCUCUAAAGCUGACAAGGUUUUAGGAAACCAGCAAAAAGGACGGGGUGUCAAGAACUCAAGUCUGUGCUGAAUGUGUGUCAAGGGUGCUGAAAGAAAUCAUCCCCUCCCACCACAGACCAUUCUGAAAGAUAAAGAUGGAACAAGAGCAUCAAGUUAAAUGCUGACAACCAGCACCUACAGCAGCUGGAGGAUCAGAUGGAAUGGAGUUAAAGGACCACAGCAGCAAGGCGAUGAAUAAACCAGUCUCCUUAUCCCAGGAUGCAACUUCUGUUUAUCCCUCUAAAUUUCCUUCUCCAUUACAUUCAGUUUCUCUUCUCCCACUGAGUUCUCCAAGCCCUAACUGCCUCUGAUUUUACCCAAUAUAUCCGCCUUUCCUAUGUUCAGUUUACCCACAUCCUGGUGGUAUCAAAAACCUUUUCCACCC